rnacentral:rRNA from 1 species
GUGGGGAAUAUUGCGCAAUGGGGGCAACCCUGACGCAGCAACGCCGCGUGAUUGAAGAAGGCCUUCGGGUUGUAAAGAUCUUUAAUCAGGGACGAAUUUUGACGGUACCUGAAGAAUAAGCUCCGGCUAACUACGUGCCAGCAGCCGCGGUAAUACGUAGGGAGCAAGCGUUAUCCGGAUUUACUGGGUGUAAAGGGCGAGUAGGCGGGCUGGUAAGUUGGGAGUGAAAUCCCGGGGCUUAACCCCGGAACUGCUUUCAAAACUGCUGGUCUUGAGUGAUGGAGAGGCAGGCGGAAUUCCGUGUGUAGCGGUGAAAUGCGUAGAUAUACGGAGGAACACCAGUGGCGAAGGCGGCCUGCUGGACAUUAACUGACGCUGAGGAGCGAAAGCGUGGGGAGCAAACAGGAUUAGAAACCCUAGUAGUCC